ACAUCAUUUUCCUGUCACAGAGUGUGCUGUGUGGAGAGGGAGACGGAGAGGGAGUUGGAGGAGAGCGGGGCCUGUCUCUGUGUGGGUCUCGUCUGUGCCAUGAGCUGUCCCACUCGUGGUUUGGCCUGGCCAUCGGGGCCCGGGACUGGACAGAGGAGUGGAUCAGUGAGGGCUUUGCCACCUACCUGGAGGACAUCAUCUGGGCCCGGGCACAGCAGUUGUCCAGCAAAGAGACAGAGGAACAGUCUCAACUCAAGGCUCUGCUGAGGUGGAGGAGACUCUCAGACGAACUACAGAACUCAGAGGAGCAGCUGCAGAUCCUCAGGCCCAACAUGGAGAGUACAGGCCAGGUCAGUGAGUCUGGGUCGUCCCUGGUCAAGCAUGCACUCAACCCUGAGAAAACCUUCAUGCAAGUCCACUACCUCAAGGGCUACUUCCUCCUCAGGUUCCUGGCCAGUAAAGUAGGACUUGAAUACUUCCUCCACUUCUUCAGACUCUUUAUAAAGAAAUACCAUGGACAACUGAUUCUCUCUCAGGAUUUCUUGCAAAUGCUGCUGGAGACCUUUCCUGACAUGGAGCGACAAGGCCUAACCCUUGAAGCUAUUUAUGCAGACUGGCUGGAUCGACCAGGAGUUCCUAAGUGGCUGUGUGAAGGGAGUGUCGUAUGGACACAGACUCGGCUGGUGGAAGACGUCAAAGCAGAGGUAGCAAAAUGGAUUGGUCUCAGUCCGAGCGUUGGAAAAGGCAGAAAGCGGAAGAAAGCUGGACUGAACGUGAACUUCAAAGAGGUGAUGCCGGAGCAGCUGGUGUUGCUAUUGGAGAUUCUGCUGGAGGAGGCGGAGCUAAGUGUGACAUCACUACGUACGAUCAAGAGAACCUACGAUCUACCGAAGCAGGACGCUGAGGUGAGGCAUCGCUGGUGUGAGCUGGUGAUCAAACACAAAUACGCUCAGGCUUAUGGAGAUGUGGAGCACUUCCUCAUACACGACCAGGCCAUGGGUGUUUAUCUGUACGGGGAGCUGAUGAUUCAAGAGGACUCUAGACAACAGGCUCUGGCCAGGCGCUGCCUCUCAUUGGUCCAGAACGAAAUGGACCAAUCAGCUCGCAGAGUGGUAGAGGAGAUGGUCCUAUGAGGUGGCACAGAAAAGGUGGACUCCAAUCAAGUUGUAGAAACAUCUCAAGGAUGAAAAAAUGGAAACAGGAUGCACCUGAUCUCAAUUUGGAGUCUUACGGCAAAGGGUCUGAAUACUUAUAUAAAUAAGGCUGCCCAGCUGCCCGCCUUGGGACAUGGAAGGGAGAGGAAACACUGAGAAAGUAAUGCUCUCACUACUUCCCCUCCAGACAGGAAGACCAAACGCCAACCUGUUUUCUUUCCUGCAUGAUCAAUGAAGUUAAAGCACUGUACUGUACAUACUAAUAGUAAUAGGUGAUGUGUAGAUAGGCCUGCGUCCCAAAAUGGCACCCUAUAUAAGUGCACUACCUUUGACCAGUGCCCUAUUAGCCCUUUGACUUUGGGCAAAAGUAGUAAACUAUCAUGGGAAUAUGGUGUCAUUUGGUACGCCCAUAGUUAUGUUCUCCAGAAUUCUCAAAAAUAUAGGAAUCGAAAAGAAAGACUAUUCUCAUGGCAUUUGUAUAAAUAUACUAAUGCCUCUUUACUGAACUUUCUGAUUUAGCCUCAGUUUCAAUUCUCCUCAUUAGGAAAUGCGACAGAAUGAGAUUUGGGUCUUGGAGGUAUCCUUUGAUGUGGAGAUUUGGGUCUUGGAGGUGUGCUUUGAUGUGAGUGUCUCUUGUGUGUUUGAACGUGGGAACGUUUGUACAUUCAUUCUGCAAAAAAAAAACAGUACAGCUACAGUCACUCACCCUUCUAGAUAACUUGAAA